GUUUAAUGAGCUGGCUUUACAAAGAAAUCGGUCUGACUGUUAAAGUUAAAAAACAAGCAUUCGAGAACUAAUUGACUUUUUACAUAAUUUAUCGUUGUUUGGUCGCAUAUCAAAUUAAAACAAUUCUAAUUAUAUAUAUAGAUGAGAAACCGUCCAGCGAAAUGAUCCAUUACACUUACUGGCAAAUGAAUAACAACCCGUCUCAGACAGCGAAUGCGUAAUGCAGAGAAAAAUUUGUAUUUAAAAUAUAAAACACAAUCCACCAGUCUUAUAUUUACUUACGUUAAUUCAAAACACAGAAAUAUUUGCGUUUCGAAUUAACGAGAGUACUUGCCAGUAUGGAAUCCGGUCAUAUAGUAUGACAUCAACAUUGCAGUUAACGCUUCUCUUUCGUUUUUCGGUAAGUUAUCUAAGAAAUCUGGUGGCGGCGGCGGAGGCGGA